AAGUCCUUGGCGGGCGGCCGUGCUUCCGCCCAGGAUCCUGGCGAUGAUCAAGUUGCCAGAUUCGUUGACUUGCACUGUUAGGCCCUGUGCAAAAACGGACCAGUGAAAAUAAACUUCGUUUCCGUUGAACAUGGCCAGAUUCUCACAAUUUGGCUUGUUUACGAAGACUUAAUGCUUCUAUUUGAAUAUAAACGCCGAUGGAAGAGAAUAUUCACGAUCACGACUCUUGCACUUUUGUUUGUCGAAAAUACAUUUGGCGGAGGAUUGGUGCUAUGAAAUGUGUUUCAAAAAAACUUGGAUAAGGGAAUAUAAUUUUUUUGAACGAGAAUUUAAUAUAAAAUGAAAAAAUGAACAAUCAAUUCCUUUCGGACGAAAAACAUUUUCUUGAUAUAAAGUUUGGAACUUUAAUCUCUGAAAGAAUGUAUUAGAUUCAUCGUAGAAGCCACGUGGCCUCGAAUCAUUGCGUGGAUAAUAAAAUGGUUCCGAAUUAUUUAUGAA